GACGAACGCUGGCGGCGUGCCUAAUACAUGCAAGUUGAGCGAUGAAGAUUGGUGCUUGCACCAAUUUGAAGAGCAGCGAACGGGUGAGUAACGCGUGGGGAAUCUGCCUUUGAGCGGGGGACAACAUUUGGAAACGAAUGCUAAUACCGCAUAACAACUUUAAACAUAAGUUUUAAGUUUGAAAGAUGCAAUUGCAUCACUCAAGGAUGAUCCCGCGUUGUAUUAGCUAGUUGGUGAGGUAAAGGCUCACCAAGGCGAUGAUACAUAGCCGACCUGAGAGGGUGAUCGGCCACAUUGGGACUGAGACACGGCCCAAACUCCUACGGGAGGCAGCAGUAGGGAAUCUUCGGCAAUGGACGAAAGCCUGACCGAGCAACGCCGCGUGAGUGAAGAAGGUUUUCGGAUCGUAAAACUCUGUUGGUAGAGAAGAACGUUGGUGAGAGUGGAAAGCUCAUCAAGUGACGGUAACUACCCAGAAAGGGACGGCUAACUACGUG
rnacentral:rRNA from 1 species